rnacentral:lncRNA from 1 species
GAGGCUAUGACCACCGUUACUCAAAAUUGAGAAGUGUCUGUCAGUGCAGUUGCUCUUCGAAAUGCUUUCAAUACGGUUGAAACUACGUCCGAAUACGUGCUCAAGAGUGGAGUAAGGACUGUUUGAACAGAGGCUGAUGCAUCCUAAGUGAAGAAAAGCAGCGUUGGAUGGUUACGCAGCCGUUCUUUGGCCGUUCUGUGGGUCGGCGCUCGGUUGUGCGCUGUAUGAUGGAUCUGCAAGAAACCGAGCAAAUUUUGCCACAUGGUAAUGGGUUGUGCCGGACCCAAAGAUCCCAGUGGACAGGACAGGAAGAGUCAAGGCUGAGUUUGCAGCUAAGAGCUUGGAGGACCAAUGGAAGCUGAUAAACUAUGCCCGUGCUGUAGCAAAGACCAAUGGCUGUCUUGACCGAGGUAGCCACCCGUCGAAGGCUCAUUGCUGUUGUCCUGCUGGAGCUGGGUGGUCUGCCAUAGGUCCAUGUCUCAAGAAAACUCACAAUUGUUUUCUUCAAAGUGAGAGGAGUUCUUUUCUCUCAAGUUCUUGCGUUCUUGAUGUUGCUGCAGCAUCAUUCAAGUCUGUGAAGAAAAGAUUUGCUGGACAGGACCAUUGCCCUCAAGAAAGAAAAUGGGUCCACAUACUGCCGAUGUUCAUUCUUAUCUCGGCAAAGAUGGGCCAGCUUUCAAGCACGGAUCUGCAAAGUGCUCUCAUCACGGCUUGGGCCAUCCUGCAGCAACAGCAGUGUGGUUUGCUUCGUUGAUGUGAAGGUGUGUUUCAUGUAGGUGACUGUUGGUGUGACAGUGGGGCUUGCAGUGGAGUCUGAAGUUCGUGGAUCAUUGUAUUUAAAAAUAGACAUGUAAUACGUACUGUAUUGUUAUUCUCUGAAAUAAAGUGUACAGCCAAUUUCAGUGCUA